CUCCAUGCGGGUGAGUGUGUGGGGCACCGUAAGGUGCGCCGGUUCUACUUCCCGGUCUGUCAACCCAUACAGUCCCCGCGCCCAU
rnacentral:antisense_RNA from 1 species